UUCUCUCCUUUUUAAAUCUUUUUUUCGUUUCUUUUUUCCUCUAUUUUUUCUUAUUUGUUCUUUUUUUUUAGUUUCAGUUUCAAAAAUCGUUAAUUGUUUUUUUUUUAUUGUUGUUGUUAUUUUUUCGAGAUUACAUUUUUUUCGAUGUUUCAUUUAUGCCCUUCUGAUAAAGUCCUCAAUACUGAACUUACAAGUUUGGUUGCUGAGAAAAUUUAAAAAAAUCAAUUUCUAUGUGGCUUCAAGUAGUUCCUAGUGAAAUUUGUGUUCGAUGUAUGCUAAGGAAGGGAAUAUAAAGACAAAAAUAGUUGAUUGACCUGAUUCUUAAGCUUUAUUGUUGAUAUCGCUUUUAUUAUAUCUUUAUGUCCUUUCAAUAAGCACAACUUUGUACAGUGUUGAAUUUUACAAUUGGGAAUAUGGUUAUUCUGAUAUCUGGGUUCUUACUUAAAGCUAUGAUAAACUUUUCUUAUCCAUUUUGUGGUAGUUUGGAUUCUAUAGUGUAUUGUAUGUUGAGUAGAAAAUCUGGUCUAAUGUCAGGGAAACUAUUUUCAAAACUCUUGUUGAUUUUCAAUCUAGACAAAUCAAAUUGCUAGUAUAACAUUAUACUAGUUUAUUUUGCUUGUUUAUCUUGUAGUUGCUUGACGCUAAUUAUUUCUUUUUGCUUCAUAGUUGCUCUUGCAUAUGGUCCUUUAAAUUCUCACUUGAUGAAUGAUCCGUUUGCACUUGAUAAAGUUGCAAAAGAAUGUGGUAGAAACACUCAUAUUUCUUAUAAGAAUAAAUGUUAUUUGAUAUUCCUUUACCACAUAAUGGUAUGUUCUGGGUAAUGAUUAUAACAGGACCGAAGUUAGUUUCUACUACAAAGCUUCUUAUAAUGACUCGCUAAUUUAUAUUCUAUAACAUUAUGUUCGAUUACCAACUAAAAUUUCCACCUGUUCACUGAUUAAGUAUAUUUUCAAGUCAACACAUCAUUUCGUCAAAACUUGAGUAUUCCCUAACCAUACAUGCAUCCUGUCUUCUUUCUUUGCAUUUUUCCAAUCCCGACACACACACCUUAUCAAGUUGUUGUUUUUCUUCUACAUUUUAUCAAGGAACUUGGACUGUGUUUACAUGUUAGAUACUUUUAAUUGUGUGUGGAAGGGUUGUGUUUGGUGGUUUCGAAGGUGCAAGAUGUAGAGAAAUAAAUAAAUGAGUGAAGGGUUGUCAGGGCAAAAGUUUGAACAGUUUUCCACCUUGUAUGCUAUGGCAAUUUAAGAAGAUGUCCGAGUCAACUGCAUACCAGUCUCAGCCCAACUUUAUUUGUACCAGAAAAAUCUGCCUAAAAAAUAGAAGAUAUGGUGAGUUUUUGGAGCUAUCUUAGGAAGAAAUGCUUAUAAAAAGUCAAAGGAAGAAACCCUAAAAAGUGUGGAGAUCCAGAGGCAACAAUAGAGGGUCGCGACUAAAUAGAGACGGAAAGCGGAAGCUGAAGGUAGUCCCUCUCAUCCCCCACAGGAUACUGUGCUACUGGAUUGUGGAUUGGUUUGGCGACAACCAUCUUCUUAAGUUCUUCCAUUAUUUCUUAAUAUGUUAUCCUUUGAAUUGAAUUGAUCAAAACGAUGUUGGAUGUUAUUUUGAACUCGAAUUUUAAUUACCAACCCAUGAAUUAUGUCGAAA